AAAUUUCAUUCUCAGAAAACGCAGAGAAAGGAAAAAAGGGAAAAAACAAAAGCUCAUCUCCGUUUCAUUUGCAGGUAACAAGCGACAGUCUACAUGUCUUCUUCAAGUGCAGCCGAUGGAGCAUGGGAAGGAAGGUAUGUGAAUAUGUACUGGUGUGUCCUCUAUUCUCCAUUAUCAUCAUUUCAUCUCUUCUCUAUUUCAACGAUGUCUACAGCCAUUUCUCAGAUCCACUCCCUUUCUCGACAUCUACCCUAAAGUUUCUUCACCGGUAAUCAACAGCUUGAGAGAGUUUCCCUCGCUUGGAAGGAAGGUCAUACUAGUCCAUGUCAGCGAGGAAGAGGUGUUUUAGUAUUUUAGUCUUUAAUUAACGGCAAAAAACUAACUUUUCGGACGGAAGGACCUUUUAAUUAGACGGAGUUAAACCUGAGGGACUAAAUAAUAAUUUUCCCUUAAAAUAAAUUUAAUUUCAAUUAUGCCUCCUUUUGAUAGGAAAAUAUUAUAUUGUUUUUACUCAUGAUUUCACUCAUUUUGAUACUGAUGGAUUGUUUUGGAAUU